AUUGAACGCUGGCGGCAGGCCUAACACAUGCAAGUCGAGCGAGCGGCGGACGGGUGAGUAAUGUGUGGGGAUCUGCCCGAUAGGGGGGGAUAACUACUGGAAACGGUGGCUAAUACCGCAUACUAUCGGAUGAACCCAUAUGGGAUUAGCUAGUGGGUGGGGUAAAGGCUCACCUGGGCGACGAUCUCUAGCUGGUCUGAGAGGCUGAUCGGCCACACUGGAACUGAGACACGGCCAAGACUCCUACGGGAGUCAGCAGUGGGGAAUAUUGCACAAUGGGCGCAAGCCUGAUGCAGCCAUGCCGCGUGUAGGAAGAAGGCCUUGGGGUUGUAAAGUACUUUCAGCGGGGAGGCGUUACCCGCAGAGAAAGCACCGGCUAACUACGUGCCAGCAGCCGCGGUAAUAC
rnacentral:rRNA from 1 species